AGCGAACGCUGGCGGCAGGCUUAACACAUGCAAGUCGAGCGGGCAUCUUCGGAUGUCAGCGGCAGACGGGUGAGUAACACGUGGGAACGUACCCUUCGGUUCGGAACAACUCUGGGAAACCGGAGCUAAUACCGGAUACGCCCUUAUGGGGAAAGGUUUACUGCCGAAGGAUCGGCCCGCGUCUGAUUAGCUAGUUGGUGGGGUAACGGCCUACCAAGGCGACGAUCAGUAGCUGGUCUGAGAGGAUGAUCAGCCACACUGGGACUGAGACACGGCCCAGACUCCUACGGGAGGCAGCAGUGGGGAAUAUUGGACAAUGGGCGCAAGCCUGAUCCAGCCAUGCCGCGUGAGUGAUGAAGGCCUUAGGGUUGUAAAGCUCUUUUGUCCGGGACGAUAAUGACGGUACCGGAAGAAUAAGCCCCGGCUAACUUCGUG
rnacentral:rRNA from 1 species